ensembl:lncRNA
AUGAGUUUGAGUGAAGUCCAGGAGUUGGUAAUGGACAGGGAGCUUUUCACUUAGCUGGGUUUAUGGCUUUAUAUAAACAUCCUCUGAAAUUAUGGCUUCUUUUUGUUGUUUUACAUGCUAUGUGCUUAGUCACUCAGUUGCGUCCGACUCUUUGCGACCCCAUGGACUGUAGCCUACCAGGCUCCUCCGUCCAUGGGAUUCUCCAGGCAGGAAUACUGGAGUGGGUUGCCGUGCCCCCCACUCCUUCAGGGAAUCUUCCCAACCCAGGGAUCCAACCCAGGUCUCCCGCAUUGCAGACAGAUUCUUUACCAUCUCAGCCACAAUUUCUGACGUGUCAAGGCUGAGUCGGUGGACACGUGGAUGUACCUGGAGAAGGAUUCCUCCCGAGAGAGCAUGGAAGCUCCAUGCUCUGUUCUCACAUACUGUGCCCUAUGCAUCUCGUCC